rnacentral:rRNA from 1 species
UGGGGAAUAUUGGACAAUGGGCGCAAGCCUGAUCCAGCAAUGCCGCGUGUGUGAAGAAGGCCUUCGGGUUGUAAAGCACUUUUAUCAGGAGCGAAACGCUGUCGGCUAAUACCCGGCGGAACUGACGGUACCUGAGGAAUAAGCACCGGCUAACUUCGUGCCAGCAGCCGCGGUAAUACGAAGGGUGCAAGCGUUAAUCGGAAUUACUGGGCGUAAAGCGUGCGUAGGCGGUUUCUUAAGUCUGCUGUGAAAUCCCCGGGCUCAACCUGGGAAUGGCAGUGGAUACUGGGAGGCUAGAGUGUGUCAGAGGGUGGUGGAAUUCCCGGUGUAGCGGUGAAAUGCGUAGAGAUCGGGAGGAACAUCAGUGGCGAAGGCGGCCACCUGGGACAACACUGACGCUGAGGCACGAAAAGCGUGGGGAGCAAACAGGAUUAGAUACCCUGGUAGUCCACGCCCUAAAAGCGAUGCGAACUGGAUGUUGGUCUCAACUCGGAGAUCAGUGUCGAAGCUAACGCGUUAAGUUCGCCGCCUGGGGAGUACGGUCGCAAGACUGAAACUUAAAUGAAUUGACGGGGUCAUAGCUGUUUCCUG